UAAGCUACGGUGUGGGCUUAAUAGCAGCAGG
rnacentral:piRNA from 1 species